ensembl:lncRNA
GAGGAGCGUGUGGGCCAGGAGUGCACCUGAAUUCUUAGACGGUUGCUGUUUGGUCAAUUGAAGAAGCCAAGGAAGGCAGGUGGAUGUGAUGGAGGAGGGUAUAUGGGAGACCACCGUUCCCAGAAUCCUUGCAGCAAAGACUGGAUGUGGGCCAUGUGGGGAGCAUGAGGAGCAGGCUGCAUUGCUGCUGCCCACCAAGCCUGUCUGUGAGCACACCUACCCAGGUUAGAAAAAGAACACUAGAGUCACCAGUGCCCAGAUGAAGAGAGAAGAGAGAAGGCUGCCGUUUCCUUAGAGGAGCCGUGCAGCCCCCACCCCAUGCAUCCUCCUGCUUCUACCCAGGAGGGAACCACGACCCUGACCCUGAGAGGGCUUUCACGUUUCUACACACAAUCCAGAGUCAGAUCCCGGAGUCCCAAGCGACAGACCCAGCUGAGACUGUAUGAAUUCUCUAGGUUAAUUAGGGGAGGGCUGACAUCUUUAAAGCAUGGAGUCUUCAGUCCGUGUACACUGUCUAUGUCUGUCCUCCGUUCAUGCUCAAUACAGAUCUGUAUUGAAGUCUCAUAAAUAUUUGGUUAUUUUCC